GACCGCGUAGCUCAGUUGGCAGAGCAUUGGGCUGGUAUUCCAAAGGUCGUAGAAUCGAUCCCACCGUGGUCA
rnacentral:tRNA from 1 species